GAUGAAGAACGCAGCGAAAUGCGAUAAGUAGUGUGAAUUGUAGAAUUCAGUGAAUCAUCGAAUCUUUGAACGCACAUUGCGCCCCUUGGUAUCCCGAGGGGCAUGCCUGUUCGAGCGUCAUUUCACCACUCAAGCCUGGCUUGGUGUUGGGCGACGUCCCCUUUGGGGACGCGCCUCGAAACGCUCGGCGGCGUGGCACCGGCUUUAAGCGUAGCAGAAUCUUUCGCUUUGGAAGUCGGGGCCCCGUCUGCCGGAAGACCUACUCGCAAGGUUGACCUCGGAUCAGGCAGGGAUACCCGCUGAACUUAAGCAUAUCAUAAGCGGAGGA
rnacentral:misc_RNA from 1 species